rnacentral:rRNA from 1 species
AAUCGACCCCUUCGGUUUCGUAGCCAACGCGUUAAGUGUUCCGCCUGGGGAGUACGCACGCAAGUGUGAAACUCAAAGGAAUUGACGGGGGCCCGCACAAGCGGUGGAGUAUGUGGUUUAAUUCGAUGCAACGCGAAGAACCUAACCAGGGUUUGACAUCCUGCGAAUUCCUUGGAAACUUGGAAGUGCCUUCGGGAGCGCAGUGACAGGUGGUGCAUGGCUGUCGUCAGCUCGUGUCGUGAGAUGUUGGGUUAAGUCCCGCAACGAGCGCAACCCACGUCUUUAGUUGCCAGCAUUAAGUUGGGCACUCUAGAGAGACCGCCGGUGAUAAACCGGAGGAAGGUGUGGAUGACGUCAAGUCAUCAUGCCCCUUACAUCCUGGGCUACACACGUACUACAAUGCUACGGACAAAGGGCAGCAAACUCGCGAGAGCUAGCAAAUCCCAUAAACCGUGGCUCAGUUCAGAUCGUAGGCUGCAACUCGCCUACGUGAAGGAGGAAUCGCUAGUAAUCGCAGGUCAGCAUACUGCGGUGAAUACGUUCCCGGGCCUUGUACACACCGCCCGUCACACCAUGGAAGUUGGCCACGCCCGAAGU